CAGUAAAUAUUUUAAUAAAAUAUUAGUUUUGGAGACUAAAGAUGGAGUAAUUUCUUUACUGA
rnacentral:tRNA from 1 species